CUGAGGCCCCUUGAACUCCUGACCUAGAGAAACUAUGAGAUGACUACAUCAAGAUCCAGAUUCCGAAACUCAGCUGUGAAUUAGACAUUUCCUGGAUGUGCCACAGACAGCAUCAUUCAACAUGUCACAAAGAGAACUCAUCAACACAAGGAUCAUUCUAAUCCUUAUGAUGCUUCAGAAAGAAAGAGGGGGCAAGAGCAAAACCAAGAAAUGAUGUCACUGACCAUGGUGAAGAACCUCCAAAACUUUGCUCUUCCAUAAAAGCAACAAAAACCUAUGGGAA
rnacentral:lncRNA from 10 species